rnacentral:rRNA from 1 species
UUUACAAUGAAGAGUUUGAUCCUGGCUCAGGAUGAACGCUAGCUACAGGCUUAACACAUGCAAGUCGAGGGGCAGCAUUUUAGUUUGCUUGCAAACUAAAGAUGGCGACCGGCGCACGGGUGAGUAACACGUAUCCAACCUACCGAUAACUCUGGAAUAGCCUUUCGAAAGAAAGAUUAAUACCGGAUAGUAUACGAAUAUCGCAUGAUAUUUUUAUUAAAGAAUUUCGGUUAUCGAUGGGGAUGCGUUCCAUUAGUUUGUUGGCGGGGUAACGGCCCACCAAGACUACGAUGGAUAGGGGUUCUGAGAGGAAGGUCCCCCACAUUGGAACUGAGACACGGUCCAAACUCCUACGGGAGGCAGCAGUGAGGAAUAUUGGUCAAUGGGCGCAGGCCUGAACCAGCCAAGUAGCGUGAAGGAUGACUGCCCUAUGGGUUGUAAACUUCUUUUAUAUGGGAAUAAAGUUUUCCACGUGUGGAAUUUUGUAUGUACCAUAUGAAUAAGGAUCGGCUAACUCCGUGCCAGCAGCCGCGGUAAUACGGAGGAUCCGAGCGUUAUCCGGAUUUAUUGGGUUUAAAGGGAGCGUAGGUGGAUUGUUAAGUCAGUUGUGAAAGUUUGCGGCUCAACCGUAAAAUUGCAGUUGAAACUGGCAGUCUUGAGUACAGUAGAGGUGGGCGGAAUUCGUGGUGUAGCGGUGAAAUGCUUAGAUAUCACGAAGAACUCCGAUUGCGAAGGCAGCUCACUAGACUGUCACUGACACUGAUGCUCGAAAGUGUGGGUAUCAAACAGGAUUAGAUACCCUGGUAGUCCACACAGUAAACGAUGAAUACUCGCUGUUUGCGAUAUACAGUAAGCGGCCAAGCGAAAGCAUUAAGUAUUCCACCUGGGGAGUACGCCGGCAACGGUGAAACUCAAAGGAAUUGACGGGGGCCCGCACAAGCGGAGGAACAUGUGGUUUAAUUCGAUGAUACGCGAGGAACCUUACCCGGGCUUAAAUUGCAAAUGAAUAUGUAGGAAACUAUAUAGCCGCAAGGCAUUUGUGAAGGUGCUGCAUGGUUGUCGUCAGCUCGUGCCGUGAGGUGUCGGCUUAAGUGCCAUAACGAGCGCAACCCUUAUCUUUAGUUACUAACAGGUUAUGCUGAGGACUCUAGAGAGACUGCCGUCGUAAGAUGUGAGGAAGGUGGGGAUGACGUCAAAUCAGCACGGCCCUUACGUCCGGGGCUACACACGUGUUACAAUGGGGGGUACAGAAGGCAGCUACACGGCGACGUGAUGCUAAUCCCAAAAACCUCUCUCAGUUCGGAUCGAAGUCUGCAACCCGACUUCGUGAAGCUGGAUUCGCUAGUAAUCGCGCAUCAGCCAUGGCGCGGUGAAUACGUUCCCGGGCCUUGUACACACCGCCCGUCAAGCCAUGAAAGCCGGGGGUACCUGAAGUACGUAACCGCAAGGAGCGUCCUAGGGUAAAACUGGUAAUUGGGGCUAAGUCGUAACAAGGUAGCCGUACCGGAAGGUGCGGCUGGAACACCUCCUUUCUG